rnacentral:rRNA from 1 species
CCUACGGGAGGCAGCAGUAGGGAAUAUUGCACAAUGGGGGAAACCCUGAAGCAGCAACGCCGCGUGGAGGAAGAAGGUUUUAGGAUCGUAAACCCCUUUUGUUAGAGAAGAAAAUGACGGUAUCUAACGAAUAAGCACCGGCUAACUCCGUGCCAGCAGCCGCGGUAAUACGUAGGGGGCAAGCGUUACUCGGAAUGACUGGGCGUAAAGGGUGCGUAGGCGGGGGAUUAAGUCAGAUGUGAAAGCCUGUGGCUUAACCGCAGAACUGCAUUUGAAACUGUUACUCUGGAGUGUUGGAGAGGAGAGUGGAAUUCUAGGUGUAGGGGUGAAAUGCGUAGAUAUAAGGAGGAAUACCAGUGGCGAAGGCGGCCUGCUGGACCGUAACUGACGCUGAUGCUCGAAAGCGUGGGUAGCAAACAGGAUUAGAUACCCUGGUAGUC